GACGAACGCUGGCGGCGUGCCUAAUACAUGCAAGUAGAACGCUGAAGGAGGAGCUUGCUUCUCUGGAUGAGUUGCGAACGGGUGAGUAACGCGUAGGUAACCUGCCUGGUAGCGGGGGAUAACUAUUGGAAACGAUAGCUAAUACCGCAUAAUAGCAGUUGUUGCAUGACAACUGUUUGAAAGGUGCAAUUGCACCACUACCAGAUGGACCUGCGUUGUAUUAGCUAGUUGGUGGGGUAACGGCUCACCAAGGCGACGAUACAUAGCCGACCUGAGAGGGUGAUCGGCCACACUGGGACUGAGACACGGCCCAGACUCCUACGGGAGGCAGCAGUAGGGAAUCUUCGGCAAUGGACGGAAGUCUGACCGAGCAACGCCGCGUGAGUGAAGAAGGUUCUCGGAUCGUAAAGCUCUGUUGUAAGAGAAGAACGAGUGUGAGAGUGGAAAGUUCACACUGUGACGGUAUCUUACCAGAAAGGGACGGCUAACUACGUG
rnacentral:rRNA from 1 species